UAUUAUUUUAUUUUUCCAUUGAUGGCCAUCUCCUUAACAGGUCUGCAUACUGUGAUGCUCAAUUACCACCUGAAAACCUAAAAGAAUUCUUGCCACGUCUACUUCCGGUUUUGCUUUCAAAUAUGUUUUAUGCUGAUGAUGAUGAGUCACUUCUGGAAGCCGAGGAGGAUGAGUCUCUCCCAAAUAGGGACUAGGAUAUAAACCUCGUUUUCAUUCAUCACGGUUUCACGGAUCAGAAAACUUGGAAGAUGAUGACGAUGACAUAGUUAAUGUAUGGAAUUUGCGAAAGUGUAGGGCAACGGCGCUUGAUGUUCUCUCAAACGUGUUUGGGGAUGAGAUUCUUCCAACUUUGAUGUCUAUUAUUGAGGCUAAGUUGGCAACUAGGGGCGAUGCAGCCUGGAAAGACAGGAAGCAGCUGUUUUGGCUCUUGGUGCCGUAGCAAGGUUGGAUUAAUAGCCUUUACCCUCAUUUAUCUGAGGUAAUCUUUUGUUGGGUGAUCUUGAUUUUUGAAUCUGAUUACAAUUGGCUUGUGCCUAAUUGGUGUGAAUACAAUGCUUAAAUCUUUUUUUUUUUUUAAAAGAAAAAAAGAAAAUUAGAGCUAUGCUUAACACCAGUUUGUUACAUUCAUAUUCCCCUUUAGACAUUGCUUCUGCAUUAUUCCUUAAUUUUUUUCGUCU